UGUAGAUUGUACAUAUGUACGUAGCUAAGCUACGACUGAACUGAUAGAAGAACACAGAAAGACACUGUUCAAUUCAUUUUAUUGAUAACGUCGUAUUUUUCAACUAUUUUUCCAUUUUUUUUGCGGCGAAUUAAGCAUUUUGUAAUAAAUUAACGUUAAUUUUAAUUUUCAAUCGAUCGAUUACUUCAGUUGUUGAACCUCGGGUCGUUUAUUAUUCAUUUCAAACAAGUAGUUUAUAAAGUGAUAGGUUGUAUUAUUUUUAUCAACAUAGUUGACUGAGCUGUUCAAUAUUUUCACGUUUUUUUCUCCUAAUUUUAUUAAAUCGACAUCCAUGAAAUUAUAGGUGAGUUACACUAAUGAUACGUGUACGAUGCACGACUUGUUGUUGGUUUUGUCAUCCUUUGCUCCUGCGGUGAUAUAUGGAUAUUAUAGACAUACCGCUCCAGCUUCAAAGUGUAGCUCUCUAUGGAACCUAAUUCCUCAAGGUUCAGCUAGCAUUAAGAUAGCAAAAUUAGGCUUCGUUUUUACGGCGGGUUUUGUAGGCUACAAAAUUACAAUUCCGCCAAUUCGGGCACUAAUUUCCAAAUACCGCAAGAUAAGAAGACUACAUUAUCGGCAAGCUCUCGUAAAAAGAUACGUGCAGACGUUCUUUUUAUUUUUAAGCCAACAGCCGCGAGAGCAAAUCGAACAAUUUUUUGAUCUGAUUGAUGAGGUCCGAGAAAUGCCAGAAGAAUUUCGAUACCGUUAUUACGAACAAGGAAUCCAGAGAAUUUUUGGUAUAGAGAUGUACAAUCGGUCGUGCAAAAGAAAUCGAGGUUUUUAGUACCUAAAUAUACACCUGAUCAAUCUACCAGACACUGAGACAGUUAUGUUUCGAACAUUACGCGAGUUUUCUCAAAUCGAAAAAUGUCUUGAUUCAAAAUUUUGUAAUAACACCAGCUUGCAUUUCUAUGUGUUAAUUUCUCGAUUUGAUGUAUUUACUGUAUAUGUACAUAUAUCUCAUUAAUUUUACUUUUUCAUUUAAUUUUGUACGUACUAAAUUUUUUUUUGGAAUAUAUCGUUGUUAAUGCAACGCAGCCUAUUUAGCGAAA